rnacentral:sRNA from 1 species
CUUUCCCCAAUCUGUGAAGUAGCUAAUAAUAUAGAACAGAAUGCUCAAGAGUGGAAAGUUGGGGACAAAUGUUCUGCCAUUUGGUCAGAAGACGGUUG